GCCGAAGUAGCUCAGUGGUAGAGCAGCUGUUUUGUAAACAGCAGGUCGGAGGUCCGAAUCCUCUCUUCGGCU
rnacentral:tRNA from 1 species